rnacentral:rRNA from 1 species
UACGAAGGGGGCUAGCGUUGCUCGGAAUCACUGGGCGUAAAGGGUGCGUAGGCGGGUUUUUAAGUCAGAGGUGAAAUCCUGGAGCUCAACUCCAGAACUGCCUUUGAUACUGAAAGUCUUGAGUAUGGGAGAGGUGAGUGGAACUGCGAGUGUAGAGGUGAAAUUCGUAGAUAUUCGGAAGAACACCAGUGGCGAAGGCGGCUCACUGGACCGGUAUUGACGCUGAGGUGCGAAAGCGUGGGGAGCAAACAGG